rnacentral:rRNA from 1 species
AGCGAACGCUGGCGGCAGGCUUAACACAUGCAAGUCGAGCGGGCAUCCUUGUGGUGUCGGCGGCAGACGGGUGAGUAACGCGUGGGAACGUGCCCUUCGGUUCGGAUUAACUCGGGGAAACUUGAGUUAAUACCGGAUACGUGCGAGAGCAGAAAGGUUUAUCUGCCGAAGGAUCGGCCGGCGUCUGAUUAGCUAGUUGGUGAGGUUAUGGCUCACCAAGGCGACGAUCAGUAGCUGGUCUGAGAGGAUGAUCAGCCACACUGGGACUGAGACACGGCCCAGACUCCUACGGGAAGCAGCAGUGGGGAAUAUUGGACAAUGGGGGCAACCCUGAUCCAGCCAUGCCGCGUGAGUGAUGACGGCCUUAGGGUUGUAAAGCUCUUUUCUCCGGGACGAUAAUGACGGUACCGGAGGAAUAAGCCCCGGCUAACUUCGUG